rnacentral:rRNA from 1 species
AUAAAUAAGCGGUGGAAAAGAAACCAACAGGGAUUCCCUUAGUAGCGGCGAGCGAACAGGGAUGAGCCCAGCGCCGAAUUCCGCGUCCCAAAGGACGUUUGGAACAUGUGGCGUUUAGGAGGAAUCUCUCCGGAGGCAGACGGUGUCGCAAGUCCCCCUGAACGGGGCUGUGAUCCAGAGCGGGUGCGAGGCCCAUAGCUGGUACUGUCUCCUCCGGGUGUCACCUCCUUGGAGUCGGGUUGCUUGGGAGUGCAGCCCUAAUUGGGUGGUAAACUCCACCUAAGGCUAAAUACGUCCGUGAGACCGAUAGCAAACAAGUACCGUGAGGGAAAGUUGCAAAGAACUUUGAAGAGAGAGUUCAAGAGUACGUGAAACCGCUCAGAGGCAAACGGGUGGGCCCACGAAAGCCGAAGGCAGGGGGAUUCAGUCGAGAGGACGUUGGGGCAAGGCUGGCUGGUUUGACGGACCGUGCCAGGCCGGGUCAGCUCCCGAGACCCUUCGCCUCUCGACGCAUUUCCCUCUGCUUAGUAGGACGCCGCAACCCGUUGGUGCACGCAGCCAUAAGGGAGAGCGAUGGAAGGUAGCCAGUGAGCUCUUCUUCGGAGGCGCGAGCUGGUCCUAAGCCUGCUUUCCUGGUGCUUGUGGCCCGACGGUGGUCUCGAGUCCCUGAACGGGAUGUCGCCGAGCCCUUCUUGACCGAGCAGGGAGAAAUGGCAAGCUGCUUUCCGUGACCAAAAAACGGUUGCUCCACGCGUGCAGUGGACAACCUUCGGAAGCGGCUGUUGGUGCAUUUUCUCCUGCGCAGGGCACAGGCAGUUGGCGGCGAGUAGGUCGGUCACCCACCCGACCCGGACGAAAGGAUGAGAGUGCCCAGUGGGCCACUUUUGGUAAGCAGAACUGGCGCUGUGGGAUGAACCAAACGCCGGGUUACGGCGCCCGAUGCGAGACGCUCAUGAGACCCCAUGAAAGGUGUUGGUUGCUAUUGACAGCAGGACGGUGGCCAUGGAAGUCGGAAUCCGCUAAGGAGUGUGUAACAACUCACCUGCCGAAGCAACUAGCCCUGAAAAUGGAUGGCGCUCCAGCGUCGAGCCCAUACCCGGCCGCUGUGCCAGAUGUUGAGAAACUUAUGGCGCAGUGAGUAGGAGGGUUGCAGUAGUGUGCGUUGAAGGUGACGGACGUAAGUCCGCCUGGAGCCGCUACUGGUACAGAUCUUGGUGGUAGUAGCAAAUACUCAAGUGAGAACCUUGAGGACUGAGGUGGAGAAGGGUUCCAUGUGAACAGCAGUUGAACAUGGGUCAGUCGGUCCUAAGGAAUAGGAGAAAUCCGUUCCGAAGCGGGACGCAUAUUUGACGGAACUGUCCCGCCCGCUGACCGAAAGGGAAUCGGGUUAAUAUUCCCGAACCCGGACAAGGAGAUCGGCCCCUCGGGGUCAAGUGCGGUAACGCAACUGAACUCGGAGAAGUCGACGGGAGUCCCGGAGAGAGUUUUCUUUUCUUUGUAAGGGUUUGGCUCCCUGGAAUCGGUUCGUCCGGAGAUAGGGAUGCUAUUCCCGUAAAGCAUCGCGCCUCCUGCGGUGUCCGGAGCGCUCCUGUCGGCCCUUGAAAAUCCGAGGGAGAGAGUGUGAUUUUCUUGCCGGACCGUACCCAUAUCCGCAGCAGGUCUCCA